GGCUGGUCCGAACGUAGUGAGCUAUCCCAAGUGAUUGUUCACAGUCGGUUACAGGUGGAACUCCUCAUUCUAUUUAUUCCCUCCUUCUCACUAUUGCACUUAACUAAGAA
ensembl:Y_RNA Y_RNA Y RNA